AGUGGCGAACGGGUGAGUAACACGUGAGCAACCUGCCCAGAAGCGGGGGAUAGCCCGGGGAAACUCGGAUUAAUACCGCAUGUGGUCUCCGGCGGCAUCGCCGGAAGAUUAAAGGUGGGGACCCUUCGGGGCCUGCCACUUCUGGAUGGGCUCGCGGCCUAUCAGCUUGUUGGUGAGGUAACGGCUCACCAAGGCUACGACGGGUAGCUGGUCUGAGAGGAUGAUCAGUCACACUGGAACUGAGACACGGUCCAGACACCUACGGGUGGCAGCAGUCGAGAAUCAUUCGCAAUGGGGGAAACCCUGACGGUGCGACGCCGCGUGGAGGAUGACGGCCCUAGGGUUGUAAACUCCUGUCAUCGGGGAGUAAGACUCACGGUUUAAUAGAUCGUGGGGUUGAUAGUACCCGAAGAGGAAGAGACGGCUAACUCUGUGCCAGCAGCCGCGGUAAUACAGAGGUCUCAAGCGU
rnacentral:rRNA from 1 species